rnacentral:rRNA from 1 species
UAAUACAGAGGUGGCAAGCGUUGUUCGGAAUUACUGGGCGUAAAGGGCGCGUAGGCGGUCUUGCAAGUCCUGUGUGAAAUCCCUCGGCUCAACUGAGGAACUGCACAGGAAACUGCUUGGCUUGAGUUCGGGAGAGGGAAGCGGAAUUCCGGGUGUAGCGGUGAAAUGCGUAGAUAUCCGGAGGAACACCGGUGGCGAAGGCGGCUUCCUGGACCGACACUGACGCUGAGGCGCGAAAGCUAGGGGAGCAAACGGGAUUAGAUACCCCGGUAGUCCUAGCUGUAAACGAUGAGUGCUGGGUGUGGCGGGUAUUAACCCCUGCUGUGCCGAAGCUAACGCAUUAAGCACUCCGCCUGGGGAGUACGGUCGCAAGGCUG